UAUUAUUUUUGAUGUUAAUUAUUUAACCUGAGUAGUAAUAGAUAUGUUCUUGAAACUUAAAGAAUUUGGCAGUAUUUUAUUCUAUUUAGAGGAACCUGUUCUUUUAUCGAUAAUCCUCGUUGGACCUUACUUAAUUUAUUGAUUUGUAUACCGCCGUUGUAUUGAGGGUCUUUAUAGUGUUUUUAAUUUUCUGAAUUUUAUUUAAAAUUAUUUCAGGUCAAGGUGCAAUUUAUGGUUAAGUAGAAAUGGGUUACGUUUAUAUUUAUUUUUGGAUUAUUAAAUGAAAUUUUAAUAUGAAAUUGGAUUUAAAUGUAAUUAUUAUUUUAGAUUGUAUUAAUGAUUUAGUUUCUAGAGUGUGUACACAUCGCCCGUCACUCUCGUUAUUUAUUCGAG
rnacentral:rRNA from 1 species